rfam:Filifactor alocis ATCC 35896, complete genome.
AAAAACAAAAAAGCGCCUGAGCCUUUCCGACAAGAAAGGUUGACGAGGAAUGGAAUGAUCGAGAUAUUCGGCGGAUAUUCCAUAGGUAUCACAGCCUUAGAACAACACAAAACACAGGAGUAAUCUUGUGAACAAAACUUGUUCCGUGACUUUCU